GGCACCAUGGUGUAGUGGUUAUCACAUCUGCCUAACACGCUGAAAGUCCCCAGUUCGAACCUGGAUGGUGUCA
rnacentral:tRNA from 1 species